rnacentral:rRNA from 1 species
GACGAACCGUGCGAACGUUGUUCGGAAUCACUGGGCUUAAAGGGCGCGUAGGCGGGUUUUCAAGUCUGUGGUGAAAUCCUCCAGCUUAACUGGAGAAGUGCCGUGGAUACUGGAGACCUCGAGGAGGGUAGGGGCAUCUGGAACAGCCGGUGGAGCGGUGAAAUGCGCAGAUAUCGGGAGGAACACCUAUGGCGAAGGCAGCUCGCUGGGACGUUACUGACGCUGAGACGCGAAAGCGUGGGGAGCAAACAGG